UCUAAAAUGGCAGAAAAGUGUAUUGGAUUUAAGAUCCAAAAAUAAAAUUAUUUUUUUUUAGAA
rnacentral:tRNA from 1 species